rnacentral:rRNA from 1 species
UACGUAGGGGGCUAGCGUUGUCCGGAAUCAUUGGGCGUAAAGCGCGUGUAGGCGGCCCGGUAAGUCCGCUGUGAAAGUCGGGGGCUCAACCCUCGGAUGCCGGUGGAUACUGUCGGGCUUGAGUGCGGAAGAGGCGAGCGGAAUUCCUGGUGUAGCGGUGAAAUGCGCAGAUAUCAGGAGGAACACCAAUUGCGAAGGCAGCUCGCUGGGACGUUACUGACGCUGAGACGCGAAAGCGUGGGGAGCAAACAGG